rnacentral:rRNA from 1 species
AAACCUCUUUUCUUGGGGAAGAACAAAAUGACGGUACCCAAGGAAUCAGCAUCGGCUAACUCCGUGCCAGCAGCCGCGGUAAUACGGAGGAUGCAAGCGUUAUCCGGAAUUAUUGGGCGUAAAGCGUCCGCAGGUGGCACUUCAAGUCUGCUGUCAAAGACCGGGGCUUAACCCUGGAAAGGCAGUGGAAACUGAAGAGCUAGAGUGUCUUAGGGGUAGAGGGAAUUCCUGGUGUAGCGGUGAAAUGCGUAGAGAUCAGGAAGAACAUCGGUGGCGAAAGCGCUCUACUGGACGACAACUGACACUCAGGGACGAAAGCUAGGGGAGCGAAUGGGAUUAGAUACCCCAGUAGUCCUAGCCGUAAACGAUGGAUACUAGGUGUGGCUUGUAUCGACCCGAGCCGUGCCGUAGCUAACGCGUUAAGUAUCCCGCCUGGGGAGUACGCGCGCAAGCGUGAAACUCAAAGGAAUUGACGGGGGCCCGCACAAGCGGUGGAGUAUGUGGUUUAAUUCGAUGCAACGCGAAGAACCUUACCAGGGCUUGACAUGUCUGGAAUCUCCUUGAAAGGGGAGAGUGCCUUCGGGAGCCAGAACACAGGUGGUGCAUGGCUGUCGUCAGCUCGUGUCGUGAGAUGUUGGGUUAAGUCCCGCAACGAGCGCAACCCUCGUUUUUAGUUGCCAUCAUUAAGUUGGGCACUCUAGAGAGACUGCCGGUGACAAACCGGAGGAAGGUGGGGAUGACGUCAAGUCAGCAUGCCCCUUACGUCCUGGGCUACACACGUACUACAAUGCGACGGACAAAGGGCAGCCAACCAGCGAUGGUGAGCUAAUCCCAUAAACCGUGGCUCAGUUCAGAUCGCAGGCUGCAACUCGCCUGCGUGAAGGAGGAAUCGCUAGUAAUUGCAGGUCAGCAUACUGCAGUGAAUCCGUUCCCGGGCCUUGUACACACCGCCCGUCACACCAUGGAAGCUGGCAAUGUCCGAAGUCGUUACCCUAACCCGCAAGGGAGGGGGACGCCGAAGGCAGGGCUGGUGACUGGGGUGAAGUCGUAACAAGGUAGCCGUACCGGAAGGU